UAAGCAAUAACUGAAAAAACUUGCUGUCUGGUUGUGAAAUUAUCUAGGAAAAAUUUGGUAAAAUGUUUCGUAAUUUUUUGUCACAUCAUGGCCAAUGAAAACGUUUAUCUACAGGUGUGAGUAAAUUUCACCUAUAUAAAUAGCGAAAGAAACCAUGCAUACGCAUUCAGAGUUAUUCAAUCGCGCUGAAACUGAUUCUAGCUAAAUAAGUAACUAUUACGUUUUGAAGUCAUUUUAAAAGAGAGAGAAAAAAACAUACCAACACUAUGAGGGCUGUAAUCGCAUAUGUGAUGGUCAUAGUAACCUACGUUUGCAUACUAUCUGUACAAGCGGGCAUUGCAGCUCCACCAAAACCACCAGGACCACCACCACCACCGGGUACCGAUAGUGGUCCAAGUAGCGGAUCAUAAGGAAGCUCCAAAGGCUCAAGAAGAAAGUGCUUUCAUCAAUACCCAAAAGUAAAUGUUUUAUCAGCUUUCCCUUAACGUUAAUUAAAAAUCUAAAUACACGUUUGUCUAUAGUUUUAUACUGCUCAUAGUCAUGUUUUUGCACCAAAGCUUCAUGUACAAAUACGCACAAUGGCUACUCCAUUUCCUUUCAAGAAAAAUACGCAAUGCACUUUCUCACCUUUUUUCUCGCUUGAUUUCUUUUUCUCUACGCUCACCUUUCUCACUCUCCAUCUCUUUUUUUUCUAUUUUGCACUGUCGAUUUUUUUUUAUCAAGUUUUAAAUUUUGUGUAAAAUUUUACGAUCCGAUUCAGACAUACGAACUAUGCACGUAUGUCGUAUAGAAUUAAUAAUAAUGAAACGAUUAAUUAAUAUUUCGAUAGAUAAUUUUGUUCGUUUAAUAAUUCAAAUAAACUGAUUCUGCAAGCCA